rnacentral:rRNA from 1 species
GACGAACGCUGGCGGCGUGCUUAACGCAUGCAAGUCGAGCGAUGAAGUUCCUUCGGGAAUGGAUUAGCGGCGGACGGGUGAGUAACACGUGGGUAACCUGCCUCAUAGAGGGGAAUAGCCUUCCGAAAGGAAGAUUAAUACCGCAUAAGAUCGUAGUUUCGCAUGAAACAGCAAUUAAAGGAGUAAUCCGCUAUGAGAUGGACCCGCGUCGCAUUAGCUAGUUGGUGAGGUAACGGCUCACCAAGGCGACGAUGCGUAGCCGACCUGAGAGGGUGAUCGGCCACAUUGGGACUGAGACACGGCCCAGACUCCUACGGGAGGCAGCAGUGGGGAAUAUUGCACAAUGGGGGAAACCCUGAUGCAGCAACGCCGCGUGAGUGAUGACGGUCUUCGGAUUGUAAAACUCUGUCUUCAGGGACGAUAAUGACGGUACCUGAGGAGGAAGCCACGGCUAACUACGUGCCAGCAGCCGCCGUAA